UAGGGAAUCUUCGGCAAUGGACGAAAGUCUGACCGAGCAACGCCGCGUGAGUGAAGAAGGUUUUCGGAUCGUAAAACUCUGUUGUUAGAGAAGAACAAGGACGUUAGUAACUGAACGUCCCCUGACGGUAUCUAACCAGAAAGCCACGGCUAACUACGUGCCAGCAGCCGCGGUAAUACGUAGGUGGCAAGCGUUGUCCGGAUUUAUUGGGCGUAAAGCGAGCGCAGGCGGUUUCUUAAGUCUGAUGUGAAAGCCCCCGGCUCAACCGGGGAGGGUCAUUGGAAACUGGGAGACUUGAGUGCAGAAGGGGAGAGUGGAAUUCCAUGUGUAGCGGUAAAAUGCGUAGAUAUAUGGAGGAACACCAGUGGCGAAGGCGGCUCUCUGGUCUGUAACUGACGAUGAGGCUCGAAAGCGUGGGGAGCAAACAGG
rnacentral:rRNA from 1 species